rnacentral:rRNA from 1 species
UACGGGGGGGGCAAGCGUUGUUCGGAAUUACUGGGCGUAAAGGGCGCGUAGGCGGCGCAACAAGUCACUUGUGAAAUCUCCGGGCUUAACCCGGAGCGGUCAAGUGAUACUGUCGUGCUAGAGUGCGGAAGGGGCUACUGGAAUUCUCGGUGUAGCGGUGAAAUGCGUAGAUAUCGAGAGGAACACCUGCGGCGAAGGCGGGUAGCUGGGCCGACACUGACGCUGAUGCGCGAAAGCCAGGGGAGCGAACGGG